rnacentral:tRNA from 1 species
GGAGAGAUGCCGGAGCGGCUGAACGACCGGUCUCGAAAACCGGAGUAGGGGCAACUCUACCGGGGGUUCAAAUCCCCCUCUCUCCGCCA